ensembl:lncRNA
CAGGUAGAGUGGACAGUGAGAGAGAGAGACAGAGAGAAAGGUUUUCCUUUUCCAUUGGUUCAUCCCCCAAUGGCCGCUGUGGCUGGCGCACCGCCAGGUGCUUCUCCUGGUCUCCCAUGGGGUGCAGGGCCCAAGCACUUGGGCCAUCCUCCACUGCACUCCCGGGCCACAGCAGAGAGCUGGCCUGGAAGAGGGGCAACAGGGACAGAAUCUGGCGCCCCGGCCGGGACUAGAACCCAGGGUGCUGGCGCCGCAGGCGGAGGAUUAGCCUAUUGAGCCGUGGCGCCAGCCUUAUUUGUUUUUUGAAAAAGGUUUAUUCAUUUAUUUGAGAGGCAGAUUUACAGACAGAAGGAGGGAGAGGUCGUCCAUCCACUGGUUCACUCCCCAAAUGGCUGCAAUGGCCUGAGCUGGGCUGAUCUGAAGCCAGGAGCCAGGAGCUUCUUCCAGGUCCCCCAUGUGGGUGCAGGGGCCCAAAUAUUUGGGCCAUCUUCUACUGCUUUCCCAGGCCUCUAACAGGGAGUUGGGUCAGAAGUGGAGCAGCCAGGACUUGCACUGGCACCACAGGCAGAGGCUUCGCCUACUAAGCCACAGUACCAGCCCUACAAUCAUUGUUUAUUAAGCCAUCACCGUCACCCUGUGAGGUUGGAAUUGGCAUCUAUGUCCUAAAGAUGGGGAUCGAGGGCACGGGCCCUGACGACGCUGUGCGCCGGGCGGACGUGGGGGGCCUGUGAGUGGGGCGGGGCUUGUCCUUAGUCUGCGGUUCUAGUAUUUUAGUAUCUAGAAUUCUAGUAUUUUUUUAAAAAACUUUAUUUUUGUUUCUAUUUUUUGAAAGGCAGAGAGAGAAGAGAUUGAGAUUUUCCACUCACUGGAUCACUGCCCAAAUGACCACGACAGCCAGGCUGGGCCAUGCCCGAGCCGGGAGCCUGAAACGCAACCUGGGCCUCCCACGGGGCUGGCGUGACGCAAGUGCAAGUACGUGGGCGCAUGCGCAGGAAGGUGGCGUCAGGUGCAGGGCCGGCGCCUGCGCUCCGAACAGCUGUGCCGCACACCUGGUUUUAAGACCAUCGCUAGUGGCGCGAAUCAAGUCUGCUCAGAACCCUGCUCUUGAGUCCUUGGAUUACUACUCAAAGAAAGACUCCCAGGAUACAAAUCAAGUGUCAGGUUCUACUUUCUGGAAGGAUCCAGGCUGGGGCAAAUGGAAUACAGAGGUUCAACAGUCUCCAUUGUUCACCUUCGUGUCUGUCAUACACAAAGCAAAACCCAGGAACAACAAAGACAAGAGUGCAGCAAAAACAAAACAGGACAACUACGGCCAACAGAAACGGAACUACAGGAAAUACAGAUACUGCUCUAAGAGGGCCUGUAAAGAAUAAUUAUUAAAAUGCCCAAAGCACUAAGUAUCAGGAUGAAGAAUUUUGGCAGAGAGCAGCAAACUAUAAAAGAGAAUCAAGAGAAAUUUCUACAACCGAGAAAUAAGAUGCUUAAAGGUUGAGAGCUCAGUGGGUUUGUCUGAUAGCAGAUUAGAUGCAGCUGAAGAGAAAAUUAGUCAGCUGAAAAUAGAUAAGAAAAUAGAUUAGAGGCCGACACCGCAGCUCACUAGGCUAAUCCUCCGCCUUGUGGUGCUGGCACACUGGGUUCUAGUCCCGGCCGGGGCGCCAGAUUCUGUCCCGGUUGCCCCUCUUCCAGGCCAGCUCUCUGCUGUGGCCAGGGAGUGCAGUGGAGGAUGGCCCAAGUGCUUGGGCCCUGCACCCCAUGGGAGACCAGGAGAAGCACCUGGCUCCUGCCAUCGGAUCAGCGUGGUGCGCCGGCCGCAGCAGCCAUUGGAGGGUGAACCAACGGCAAAAGGAAGACCUUUCUCUCCGUCUCUCUCUCUCUCUCUCACUGUCCACUCUGCCUGUCAAAAAAAAAAAAAAAAUAGAUUAGAGCACAGAGACACGUUGUGGAAAUAAACAUAUAAAAUAAAUAAAAAACA